rnacentral:rRNA from 1 species
AAAUUGAAGAGUUUGAUCAUGGCUCAGAUUGAACGCUGGCGGCAGGCCUAACACAUGCAAGUCGAACGGUAGCACAGAGAGCUUGCUCUCGGGUGACGAGUGGCGGACGGGUGAGUAAUGUCUGGGAAACUGCCCGAUGGAGGGGGAUAACUACUGGAAACGGUAGCUAAUACCGCAUAACGUCGCAAGACCAAAGUGGGGGACCUUCGGGCCUCACACCAUCGGAUGUGCCCAGAUGGGAUUAGCUAGUAGGUGGGGUAACGGCUCACCUAGGCGACGAUCCCUAGCUGGUCUGAGAGGAUGACCAGCCACACUGGAACUGAGACACGGUCCAGACUCCUACGGGAGGCAGCAGUGGGGAAUAUUGCACAAUGGGCGCAAGCCUGAUGCAGCCAUGCCGCGUGUAUGAAGAAGGCCUUCGGGUUGUAAAGUACUUUCAGCGAGGAGGAAGGCGUUGUGGUUAAUAACCACAGCGAUUGACGUUACUCGCAGAAGAAGCACCGGCUAACUCCGUGCCAGCAGCCGCGGUAAUACGGAGGGUGCAAGCGUUAAUCG